GCCGGUGGCGCCUGUAAUCCAAGAUACCGGGAGGCUGAAGCUGGCGGAUCGUUUGAGCUCAGGAGCCCUGAGCUGCAGUGGACUAUGCCGAUCGGUUGUCCGCACUAAGUUCGGUAUCGAAAUGGUGCUCCAGGGGGAACCCGGGACCACCAGGUCGGGAACAGAGCAGGUUAAAGGCCCCGUGCUGCUCAGCGGUGGGAUCGCGCCUGUGAAUAGACGCUGUAGCGCAGCCUGAGUAAUACAGAGAAACUCAA
rnacentral:SRP_RNA from 1 species